GUUUGCAGGUUAUCCCGUGGCCUGAGUGGUAGAAGCAAAGCUACUGCUAGUCACUAUUAGUGGCAACAUCUCCAAAUUGCGUGAAACCCGUCAUACAACUUCAAGUACCACUUCAGUUGAGAAAUCUUCUGAAGGAACACAGGUAACUCCUGUUCCCAAUGGUAAAAAGCUUGAAGACAUGGUGGCAAUGCGCAGCCAAGCUCCUAAGUAUUUUAAAUAUAAGGAGAAGGUUCAGAGAGCAGACGGAGAUGGGCGGUAAUCAUCGCCGCUUAAGGUGUGCUCCAGCCUCAUUCGAAAGAUUGAG
rfam:Macrostomum lignano uti_cns_0045388, whole genome shotgun sequence.